AAUGCUUCUUCUUCUUCUUCUUCCCCUUCUUCUUCCCCGUUCCACUUCUCUGUCAUCCAAUACACGCUUCACGGUCAAACCUUCGCCGUCAUCCAAAACAUUCUCCUUCGUCCAAAACAGACCCUACAGCCAAAGCCCUUCCCCAUCAUCCAAAACCCAGACCCAUAUUAGCUCCAACAAAAACUGAUCCCAUUCCCCUUCUCCGUCGUCCAAAACGCCUCUGAAGUAAUUCACUCCAAUCGCAGAUACAGGGAUUUCACUUCUUAACCCUCAGGUGUGUUGGGUUUUGGCCGUCAAUUGCAACUGAAGCUAGUCUCCUCUGUAAAGGAAGUCCAAGCCCGAGGUCAGUGUUUGGCAACAUCUACACGGCACCUCCUUCCAUGUCUAUUUGUGCAGUUUUGUUUGCCUUAUAUAAUGCUGUACAUAAGCACAACUACGGUACCCAAUAUACCUCCAUUAGGGUGAGAUAUAUUAAGAUGCACUUCUUAUUGUAAAAAAAGAUGAUAAAGUAAGAUCUCAAAGGUAAAUGCCUUUGGUAGGUUUUGACUUACUAAUGGUUGUAUUUAUUAAAUAGUUGUAAAUCCUUUGUCUUUUAAUUGUGUUACUGAUUCUUGGGGGAAAUGUUUUGAUGAUCCAUGUUUAGUUUAUCAAUUUAUCUGUAAAAAUGUAUUUGGUACUCCAAGAACCCAGUUUUGGUCUGUACAAAACACCCGUAUCUUGAAUGUGUAUUGAGUCUGCCAUCAUGAUAUGUUAGAUAGUUGAUGCAGAAUCUGUUUUAUAACUUAUAUUUAUGACAAUGAUGGUUAAUAUCUUAGACAUUGUUACUUGACCGGGGUGUAGUUAUAUGCAAAAUGGGGUGCACUGACUUGACCUUUUUUGAAGGCUAGGUUAUUUCUGUUAGUAUGCUGGAUUAUUUUUAUGUGUGUUGUUUCAAGUCUGCCCUUUGGAAACUAUGUAGAUAUUUAUGUGUGCUGUUAUCUAUAUUUGUUAGUGGGAGUGAAACUGUGGAGCACUUUGGUUUACUAAUCUCUUUAAAUUGUGUUAUUUUAAUUCAAAACUUUUGAAUAAGGUUCUAAAUGAUGUAUUAUAAAUUUUUGGGUGUCAGUGUCAGUUAGUUACUAUUUUGUUAUAUUAGAUGUUACUCAUAAGAUAAUUUUAGACAAGCUAUGAGUUUUCUGUGUUUGAAAAACUGAAUCUUUAUCCAAAUAUACAAAGGCUUAAAAAGUAAAAUUCCAUUUUAAAUUUGGGGAUUUAAAAGGACUUAGGUUUUGGUAUUUUGAUCAGUUGGUUUUGAAUUACGUGAUUGGGUUAGAUUUUGUUUUAAUUAAGGUUUUGAUUUAGACUUAUUCUUCUUCAUCUACUGUAAUUUCAAAAGGUUGUUUGUUCAUUUGAAUGAAAUUGAUACCUCUUUUUGGUUGUUUAAUUGUUUUGAUAAUGAUUGAUUUUGUUUAUUUGUUUGGUGUUUUCAGGUUCCCAAAGUGGUUUAUUUAGGCUAUUAUCGGAUCGGCCUCAACCUUCGACUCAUGGUUUGAGUUUUUCACAAAGACAGUGCUUAGUAAAGGCGUUACACGCUGAGCCAAAACGUAAUGAUUUGAUGGCCCUUGAGUUUGGUGUUGUUGGCACACAAAAAGCUCAUUAGGGAGAAGCUUGCAGAAGAGGCUGAACAGAACGUUAAGCAGGGGAGGCCAAGAGGGAAUAUUACUUGGUAACAAGUAUUUCAUACUGGAUUGAAUUGUUCAAGAGCUGUUGCUGCAUUAAGGUUUUAUUAAUUAAGUGCUACUGCAUAUUGAGACAAACAAAUUUAAUUCUAUGCAACACUCAAUCAAAUUAAAUCAUUUUGAGUUCAAGCCUAAGGUAGACUUGGCUGUGUAUGAAAAUUGAGGAAUAGAUGUCUUGAUUUGGUUGGAUGAAAGUUUUUGAAUUAGCG